rnacentral:rRNA from 1 species
CCCCUGUGCCGCAGUUAACACAAUAAGUAUCCCGCCUGGGGAGUACGGUCGCAAGAUUAAAACUCAAAGGAAUUGACGGGGGCCCGCACAAGCAGCGGAGCAUGUGGUUUAAUUCGAAGCAACGCGAAGAACCUUACCUGGACUUGACAUCCCUUGCAUAGCCUAGAGAUAGGUGAAGCCCUUCGGGGCAAGGAGACAGGUGGUGCAUGGUUGUCGUCAGCUCGUGUCGUGAGAUGUUAGGUUAAGUCCUGCAACGAGCGCAACCCUUGUUAUUAGUUGCUACCAUUAAGUUGAGCACUCUAAUGAGACUGCCUGGGUAACCAGGAGGAAGGUGGGGAUGACGUCAAAUCAUCAUGCCCCUUAUGUCCAGGGCUACACACGUGCUACAAUGGUAGGUACAAUAAGAUGCAAGACCGUGAGGUGGAGCAAAACUUAUAAAACCUAUCUCAGUUCGGAUUGUAGGCUGCAACUCGCCUACAUGAAGCUGGAGUUGCUAGUAAUCGCGAAUCAGAAUGUCGCGGUGAAUACGUUCCCGGGCCUUGUACACACCGCCCGUCACACCAUGAGAGCUGGUAACACCCGAAGUCCGUGAGGUAACCGUAAGGAGCCAGCGGCCGAAGGUGGGAUUAGUGAUUGGGGUGAAGUCGUAACAAGGUAGCCGUAGGAGAACCUGCGGCUG